rnacentral:lncRNA from 1 species
AAUCACCUAAGUACUACCUUCCUCCGAGUGUACCCUUCACGUCGCACUCGGGGACUUAGCUGCGAUCCUGUAUCGCCUAAGUAGUAACCUCCUUCGAGUGUGCACUAUACAUCGCACUCGGGGACUUAGCUGUGAUCAAGAAUCACCUAAGUAAUACCUUCCUUCGAGUGUGCACUAUACGUCACACUCGGGGACUUAGCUGCGAUCCUGUAUCACCUAAGUACUAACCUCCUUCGAGUGUGCACUAUACGUCGCACUCGGGGACUUAGCUGUGAUCAAGAAUCACCUAAGUAAUACCUUCCUUCGAGUGUGCACUAUACGUCACACUCGGGGACUUAGUUGUGAUCAAGAAUCACCUAAGUACUAAAAACUCCUUCGAGUGUGCACUAUACGUCGCACUUGGGGACUUAGCCGUGAUCAAGAAUCACCUAAGCACUGCCCUCCUCCGAGUGUGUACUAUACGUCGCACUCGGGACUUAGCUGCGAUCCUGAAUCGCCUAAGUAAUAACUUCCUCCGAGUGUGCACUAUACGUCGCACUCGGGGACUUAGUUGUGAUCAAGAAUCAUCUAAGUACUAACCUCCUCCGAGUGUGCACUAUACGUCACACUCGGGAACUUAGCUGUGAUCACGAAUCACCUAAGUCUUAAUAUUCUCCGAGUACACACUAAGUGUUGAACUCGAAACAGCAUUCAAGCAAAAGACUAAAUGUUUUCAUUGCGACUCCAACAGUCUAGAAACAAUAAUUGACUCGGUGCGGAUCAAGCUUACCCGCACCAAUUUU